AUACGGAGGGUGCAAGCGUUACUCGGAAUCACUGGGCGUAAAGCGCGCGCAGGCGGCUUGAUAAGUUGGAUGUGAAAGCCUACGGCUCAACCGUAGAACUGCAUCCAAAACUGUCAAGCUAGAGUCUGGGAGGGGAAGAUGGAAUUAGUUGUGUAGGGGUAAAAUCCGUAGAGAUAACUAGGAAUACCAAAAGCGAAGGCAAUCUUCUGGAACACUACUGACGCUGAGGCGCGAAGGCGUGGGGAGCAAACAGGAUUAGAAACCCGAGUAGUCC
rnacentral:rRNA from 1 species